CGUAAUAACAGAAACUAACCAGGAUUCCCUUAGUAACGGCGAGUGAACUGGGAUACCAAUAUAUUUAUGCGUCUCUGGCGCAUAUUUUUAGCCCGUCGAUACUAUCCUAGCGUAUUACCGGUUUCGGCCGGUAGCCCAAUACGCGGGAAUUGUAGCAUCGUAAUAAAAUAUACACCAUGCCUGCGUCGCAAACGUAUAUACACGUAUACUCACACACACACAUACUCUCGUACGCGUACACACCCCUUGCAAACACACAGCGCUCCCGCGUUGGAAAGCAAGUCUAUAUCCUCUUUGGAUAUGCCAUAGAGUGUGACAGCCACGUUUGAAACACCCUAUGUACCGUACACACACAUACGUAAAAAUACGCGCUGCUUCGCAUACGCAUACCGUAUAUAACCUGAGUCGAGUUAUUU
rnacentral:rRNA from 1 species